GACGAACCGUGCGAACGUUGUUCGGAAUCACUGGGCUUAAAGGGCGCGAAGGCGGAUUGCCAAGUCAGGGGUGAAAUCUCUCAGCUCAACUGGGAAAUUGCUUUUGAUACUGGCAGUCUCGAGUGAGGUAGGGGCAUGUGGAACUCUCGGUGGAGCGGUGAAAUGUGUUGAUAUCGGGAGUAACUCCGGUGGAGAAAGCGACGUGCUGGACUUCAACUGACGCUGAGGCGCGAAAGCUAGGGGAGCAAACGGG
rnacentral:rRNA from 1 species